rnacentral:rRNA from 1 species
CCUAAGACAUGCAAGUCGUACGAAGUGGCCCAUUGAUGAUUGAGUGCUUGCAUAAGAUUUGAUUUUGGAUUCCCACUUAGUGGCGCAAGGGUGAGUAACGCGUAGGUUAUCUGCCUUCGAGUUUGGAAUAACAAUUAGAAAUGAUUGCUAAUGCCGGAUUAUAUUUAAGAUGAUACGUUGUCUUAAAUUAAAAGGAGCCUUUAAAGCUUCGCUUGAAGAUGAGCCUGCGUCGUAUUAGCUAGUUGGUGGGGUAAUGGCCUACCAAGGCAACGAUGCGUAGCCGACCUGAGAGGGUGAUCGGCCACACUGGGACUGAGACACGGCCCAGACUCCUACGGGAGACAGCAGUUAGGAAUAUUCGUCAAUGGGGGAAACCCUGAACGAGCAAUGCCGCGUGAAGGAUGACGGUCCUUUGGAUUGUAAACUUCUGUUGUUAGGGAAGAACAAGCUGUAUAGGAAAUGAUACAGUUCUGACGGUACCUUUCAAGAAAGCUCCGGCUAACUACGUG